rnacentral:rRNA from 1 species
CCUACGGGAGGCAGCAGUGGGGAAUAUCGCACAAUGGGGGAAACUCUGAUGCAGCGACGCCGCGUGAAGGAAGAAGUAUUUCGGUAUGUAAACCUCUAUUAGUAGGGAAGAAAAUGACGGUACCUGACUACGAAGCCCCGGCUAACUACGUGCCAGCAGCCACGGUACUACGCAGGGGGCAAGCGUUAUCCGGAUUUACUGGGUGUAAAGGGAGCGUAGGGGGUUUAGAAAGUCAGAAGUGAAAGCCCGGGGCUCAACUCCGGGACUGCUUUUGAAACUGUUGGACUAGAGUGCAGGAGAGGUGAGUGGAAUUCCUAGUGUAGCGGUGAAAUGCGUAGAUAUUAGGAGGAACACCAGUGGCGAAGGCGGCUAACUGGACUGUAAAUGACGCUGAGGCUCGAAAGCGUGGGGAGCAAACAGGAUUAGAUACCCUUGUAGUC